AUAUCAAUAAGCGGAGGAAAAGAAACUAACAAGGAUUCCCCUAGUAACUGCGAGUGAAGCGGGAAAAGCUCAAAUUUAAAAUCUGUCAGUCUUUGACUGUCCGAGUUGUAAUCUAGAGAAGUGUUAUCCGCGCUGGACCGUGUACAAGUCUCCUGGAAUGGAGCAUCAUGGAGGGUGAGAAUCCCGUCUUUGACAUGGACUGCCAGGGCUUUGUGAUGCGCUCUCAAAGAGUCGAGUUGUUUGGGAAUGCAGCUCAAAAUGGGUGGUAAAUUCCAUCUAAAGCUAAAUAUUGGCGAGAGACCGAUAGCGAACAAGUACCGUGAGGGAAAGAUGAAAAGAACUUUGGAAAGAGAGUUAAACAGUACGUGAAAUUGCUGAAAGGGAAACGCUUGAAGUCAGUCGCGUUGUCCAGGGAUCAACCUUGCUUUUGCUUGGUGUACUUUCUGGUUGACGGGUCAGCAUCAAUUUUGACUAUUGGAAAAAGAUUAGGGGAAUGUGGCAUCUUCGGAUGUGUUAUAGCCCUUGGUUGCAUACAAUGGUUGGGAUUGAGGAACUCAGCACGCCGCAAGGCCGGGUUUUAACCACGUACGUGCUUAGGAUGCUGGCAUAAUGGCUUUAAUYGACCCGUCUUGAAACACGGACCAAGGAGUCUAACAUGCCUGCGAGUGUUUGGGUGGAAAACUCGAGCGCGCAAUGAAAGUGAAAGUUGAGAUCCCUGUCGUGGGGAGCAUCGACGCCCGGACCAGACCUUUUGUGACGGAUCCGCGGUAGAGCAUGUAUGUUGGGACCCGAAAGAUGGUGAACUAUGCCUGAAUAGGGUGAAGCCAGAGGAAACUCUGGUGGAGGCUCGUAGCGAUUCUGACGUGCAAAUCGAUCGUCAAAUUUGGGUAUAGGGGCGAAAGACUAAUCGAACCAUCUAGUAGCUGGUCUGC
rnacentral:rRNA from 1 species